rnacentral:rRNA from 1 species
AACGAACGCUGGCGGCAUGCCUAACACAUGCAAGUCGAACGAGACCUUCGGGUCUAUUGGCGCACGGGUGCGUAACGCGUGGGAACCUGCCCUUAGGUUCGGAAUAACUCCCCGAAAGGGGUGCUAAUACCGGAUAAUGUCUUCGGACCAAAGAUUUAUCGCCUUUGGAUGGGCCCGCGUUGGAUUAGCUAGUUGGUAGGGUAAAAGCCUACCAAGGCGACGAUCCAUAGCUGGUCUGAGAGGAUGAUCAGCCACACUGGGACUGAGACACGGCCCAGACUCCUACGGGAGGCAGCAGUGGGGAAUAUUGGACAGUGGGCGAAGGCAUGAUCCAGCAAUGCCGCGUGAGUGAUGAAGGCCUUAGGGUUGUAAAGCUCUUUUACCCGGGAUGAUAAUGACGGUACCGGGAGAAUAAGCUCCGGCUAACUCCGUG